rnacentral:sRNA from 1 species
GGGUUGCCAUGUCUCAUCUUUCGCUCUUCUCCUCGACUGUUACUUCCCUCUCCAUCAAGUAUUAGCUUCCCUUCUCCAUUUCUCAUACUAUCUGUCUUAUUUAUCUUUCUUUCGUUUGUUUUAUCACAACAGAGAAGUUUUAUCAGCCUAUAGUAAUGAUUGCCCCCGCCUAAAUAUAUAUCAUUGCUCUUUGAUUUUAUCGAGAUCUGUUCCGUUUCCUAUUGACAAAACAUGAGAAAAAUGUCAUUUCCUUACAUGUAGGUGUCUCUACUUUAUGUACACUUUAGCGUGUACUAGUAUGCAUGUUUCCGUGUGACUGUAACGAAAAGGCCCACCCCUUAAGUAAAAACAGUGACAACAAAAAUUUAAACAUUAUACUGUAUGUCAUUAGUUUUCAUCAGUACACGUAUCUACAAUGUACUAUUAGAAAAUAUUAAUAAUAUACUGCAUUUAUAGAUGUAUACGGAAUUUAAACAAAAUCAAACAGUUGUGAAAAAGAGAUCGUAAAAACAUGGCGAAACAUGCAUUUAUAAAUAAUAUUUUGCAAAAUCGGGCAACAAACAUGUAUUACUGGGUAUACGCGAGGUUUUUUUUAUUUCGCGUGUCGCAAAAUUUGCCAAAAUAGAAAAAACGAGUAACUUUAUUUAUUUGCGUCAGUUAUAUUUUUCAAUUCAAAAAGUUUCUUAUAGCAAAAAUUUCCGGAUAAAAUUUUUACGAAUUAAAUAUUUUAAGAUGUAAAAGUGAUCGCGAAAAUUACAUGUAGAUCGUCGCGAAAAUUACCGGGUAAUGCGGGUAUACGGUUUUUAUUACCAUGUGUCGUGUUAUUGCUUACUACUGUGCAAAAAUUACAUGUGUGAAUGAAUUGAGAGAUUCCUUAAAAUCGCACAUACAUGUACAUAUAUGAUGUGGUUUGAUUUUUACUUGAUGAGCACAUUGGUGUAUGUGCACUUAAAAUCAUUUUAAAUAAUUCUUUAUUACCAUUAAGGAAGGAGUCUUUUCUGGUUUUCGACUUGUCAAACGUAAAUUUGAUUAAUUGUUCAUUAAAUCAAGAUUAAAAGGAGAUUAGAAUAGUAUAUUUAUCUUUCUUUUUACUAUCAUACAACUUGGCAUAGAAAUAGUAAUCAAUGUUUAAAAUCUAACAAGGACUAUAUUUUUGGCGGAAUAUUUGCGUAGGAAAUAUCACAUGUUUCGCAAUUCAGAAUUGAUGUAGAUUAAUGAGUCUGUUUUUAUUAGCAUUUAUAAAACAAUUACAUUAAUGUUGGAUUUUUAACUAAUGUGAACUAAUGAUAUGAUACUUGAGUUUUAGAAUUUUAUUAAACUAAGAAAAGUCACGCGAGGCGCGCCGAUGAGAUUUUCUAGUUAACCCACUUUGAUUGAGAGACGCUUGUAGUGUAAGUUGCCAACAUUUCCUUAUUGUUUUGUUUUCAUAUACGUUUUGUGUUUAUACAUACCUUUUUGUUUACAAGUAGGUUUUGUUUAUCUGAUAGCAUAUUUCCGCACGGAAAUAUAUCACAAAAAAAAAUCCGAUUAAUCUUUUUUAGAAUGUAAGGAGUUAAUUGAACAACGUUUAGAGGGCUCAUUGGUCUUUGCUAAUUUUAGACUGUAUUGGUCUCUCUUAGAAUAAGAGCUGUAUAUAAAAAUAUAAGAAAGUGCUUAAAUUUAAAGAUUAAAACAUAU